AGAAUAAAGAACGGGAGCUUGUGUGACAGGCUGAGAGGAAGAUAGAUCUUCGACCGCACCUGAUUUGGGUAAUGCCAACGGAGGGAAUACAUAUCGAAAGAAUG
rnacentral:ncRNA from 1 species